AAAUUGAAGAGUUUGAUCAUGGCUCAGAUUGAACGCUGGCGGCAGGCCUAACACAUGCAAGUCGAACGGUAACAGGAAGCAGCUUGCUGCUUCGCUGACGAGUGGCGGACGGGUGAGUAAUGUCUGGGAAACUGCCUGAUGGAGGGGGAUAACUACUGGAAACGGUGGCUAAUACCGCAUAACGUCGCAAGACCAAAGAGGGGGACCUUCGGGCCUCUUGCCAUCAGAUGUGCCCAGAUGGGAUUAGCUUGUUGGUGAGGUAACGGCUCACCAAGGCGACGAUCCCUAGCUGGUCUGAGAGGAUGACCAGCCACACUGGAACUGAGACACGGUCCAGACUCCUACGGGAGGCAGCAGUGGGGAAUAUUGCACAAUGGGCGCAAGCCUGAUGCAGCCAUGCCGCGUGUAUGAAGAAGGCCUUCGGGUUGUAAAGUACUUUCAGCGGGGAGGAAGGUGUUGUGGUUAAUAACCGCAGCAAUUGACGUUACCCGCAGAAGAAGCACCGGCUAACUCCGUGCCAGCAGCCGCGGUAAUACGGAGGGUGCAAGCGUUAAUCGGAAUUACUGGGCGUAAAGCGCACGCAGGCGGUCUGUCAAGUCGGAUGUGAAAUCCCCGGGCUCAACCUGGGAACUGCAUUCGAAACUGGCAGGCUUGAGUCUUGUAGAGGGGGGUAGAAUUCCAGGUGUAGCGGUGAAAUGCGUAGAGAUCUGGAGGAAUACCGGUGGCGAAGGCGGCCCCCUGGACAAAGACUGACGCUCAGGUGCGAAAGCGUGGGGAGCAAACAGGAUUAGAUACCCUGGUAGUCCACGCCGUAAACGAUGUCUACUUGGAGGUUGUGCCCUUGAGGCGUGGCUUCCGGAGCUAACGCGUUAAGUAGACCGCCUGGGGAGUACGGCCGCAAGGUUAAAACUCAAAUGAAUUGACGGGGGCCCGCACAAGCGGUGGAGCAUGUGGUUUAAUUCGAUGCAACGCGAAGAACCUUACCUGGUCUUGACAUCCACAGAACUUUCCAGAGAUGGAUUGGUGCCUUCGGGAACUGUGAGACAGGUGCUGCAUGGCUGUCGUCAGCUCGUGUUGUGAAAUGUUGGGUUAAGUCCCGCAACGAGCGCAACCCUUAUCCUUUGUUGCCAGCGGUCCGGCCGGGAACUCAAAGGAGACUGCCAGUGAUAAACUGGAGGAAGGUGGGGAUGACGUCAAGUCAUCAUGGCCCUUACGACCAGGGCUACACACGUGCUACAAUGGCGCAUACAAAGAGAAGCGACCUCGCGAGAGCAAGCGGACCUCAUAAAGUGCGUCGUAGUCCGGAUUGGAGUCUGCAACUCGACUCCAUGAAGUCGGAAUCGCUAGUAAUCGUGGAUCAGAAUGCCACGGUGAAUACGUUCCCGGGCCUUGUACACACCGCCCGUCACACCAUGGGAGUGGGUUGCAAAAGAAGUAGGUAGCUUAACCUUCGGGAGGGCGCUUACCACUUUGUGAUUCAUGACUGGGGUGAAGUCGUAACAAGGUAACCGUAGGGGAACCUGCGGUUGGAUCACCUCCUUACCUGAAAGAAGC
rnacentral:rRNA from 1 species